UACGUAGGGGGCAAGCGUUGUCCGGAAUCAUUGGGCGUAAAGAGCGUGUAGGCGGCCAGAAAAGUCCGCUGUGAAAACUCGAGGCUCAACUUCGAGCUGUCGGUGGAAACUUUCUGGCUAGAGUCCGGAAGAGGAGAAUGGAAUUCCUGGUGUAGCGGUGAAAUGCGCAGAUAUCAGGGAGAACACCCGUGGCGAAGGCGGUUCUCUGGGACGGUACUGACGCUGAGACGCGAAAGCGUGGGGAGCGAACAGG
rnacentral:rRNA from 1 species